rnacentral:lncRNA from 1 species
UUGUUACUUUACAUAGAGAUAAUAUAUAGGAUCUAUACAACUUAUAUGAGCCAACUGUAUAAAUACAACCAGUAUUUAGAGACAAGCCAUUUGUACGUAUAACAUUUGAUAUACUCGGGGUGACUCAUGUAUGCACGGAUGUCAAUGUCUUCCUGGAGAUCUCGAUUUAUACUUGUGCAUGGAUUGUACUUGUGAACACCGAGCUGUGCGAGAUAGUUGUGCCCACAGAGAUUUCGGAUCAGAUAGGGUAUUCAGUUCAAUAGAGAAAAAUGAAUGGUAGUCAUGUCGCCCCCAGUGUCGGAGGGUCUUCUCAGAGAAUGGCCUGAGAACCUAUGAUGUUGGAGCCGAGCUUGCCGAAUAGCCUGUGUGAAUAAGUCGGUGUUUUCGGUGUUGCAGGAUUCCUUUGAAGCUAAUAGAAAAGAAAUGAUAUACUUGGACAAGUGAUAGGAACAGUGUGACCUGAAAAAUGUGUUAAACCUGUACUCACGACGAAGCAAGAACACUCUAUAAAAUGACAUAAUGCGACAGAGCCCCAGAUAAAAUUGCAUGUAAUACACUGUUUGUAUAGUGUAGUGAAAAACGUUUGUAUGCAAAGAUGUUCAACUUUGGUAGCAUAAAUUCUAAGUUAAAGAACGUGUCCGCUAUAUGACUGGACUAUAUUGAAAAUUGGGUUAAAUAUGUAUUCAACAGAGAUUGAACAAUAAAAAGAAGCAAUGAGUUUCAUUAUCCAAGGCCUUAAACAAUAUGAUAUAUAAUGCGAUGCAUUGAAUGAGAUUUGUAUUUGAGGAAAUGAUGGUCUAUUAAGCUAGGUAAUGUGCUAACUGUCAAAAAACAUUAAAAAUGUGCACUAAAUGUGUUUAAUAUGCAAAGGCAUAAAGAUAAACCAAUGUGCACUAAAUGUGUUUAAAAUUCGUAUGUGUGCAAGUACAGGCAACCAAUAGUACCAAUGGCAUUGUAGUCACGUAAACAGAUGUAGGUGUAAAACCAAUGUAUAAGAAUGUUAACCAUUGUAUAUGGUUUUAAAGCCAAGUAGCUAGAUUUUAUGUAUUGGAAUGGUUAUUUGUAUGUAGUGAAUAAAAUAUGCAGAGUUGCUAAAACUGUGUAGUAUUUGUAUCAAUUGUCAAGCAAUUUAAAGUAGAUGUACUGUGUAAGGUGACCUGUGUGCAUCAUUGUAUAAAUUUUUCCUCAUAAUGAAACAAAAUAAUCCAUUUAUGGGAGCAACUUUAGUAAUAAGUGCAGUAGUAAUGAGUGCAGUAGUAGUUUGAUACUAGUAAAGCAAUAAGUAUAACAGAUGUUAUCAAGCCGAAAGAAAUAUGUUGAACUCUUGUAGUAAGUUAAGUAAAUAUGCUAGAGUAUUGGUUUGAGGGGAUGUGUAUUAAUGUAAUGUGUAGUCAAAUGUCAUAGUUGAACAGAGGAUAGAAAAACUAAAUUCAAAAAUCUUCAAACUAAUAUAAAAAUGAAUAUAGUGGAAGCGUGAAGAUUUACAAACUAAGCAUGUGUUCAGAAUAUGAGUACAACAGACUCCUUUAAGGUGUGGAAUCAGAUUUGAUCCAAGUAGAAUUAAUGCAAUGCAAAGUGAAAGGUUGUGUUAAGAGUUUAGUAAAGUUUGGGCACCGUUUAGGUGUCGUCGGAUGUGAAGAGUGAAUAUGUGAGCUUAGUGUAGCUAACUCAAUAAAAAAGAAAUAAUUUGACCAAAAGAAUACCGUAUCAACCGAGGUCUAUAGAUGUACUAGCUCAAGUGAGUUGAGAGUUACCUGUCCCGACGAAAGUUAAAUGAAAUGAAAGGAUAGAAUAAUCCAUUUUGUAUCAAUAAGUAUUGUGAGUGAAUCAAGUGAUCGUCACAGAGUUAACAGAGUUAGUACUCAGAAAAGCACAUAAAUUGAAGUAUUGUCUAUGCUUAGGACAACUAAGUGUAAUGCCCAUGAGAGAGUGUGAAGAUACAUAGCAAGUAAGAAAUAAUGAUACACUAGUGCUUAUGCAGUUAACCAUUAAUACUGCUACUUCACAGUAAGCCAAAUGUUGCAAGUGUGAUACCAAUUGCCGUGUCAACCGAUAUAAAUAUAUGUGAUUAAAUUUCAGUUUAGGUCUUACCUGCCGUGAUGAGAGCUAAGUGCCGAGAAAAAUAAGAAAACGUGAGCUGUUACCAAUAUAGUUAUAUGAGCAAACCGAGAGUGUCGUCAUGAUCAUGGAGUUAAAAUGACUGAAAUUUGUAACCCAGCUGAGCUAGAGAGGUUGUUUGCGAACUUGAAAAAUUAAAGACAGUUGAGAUAUUUUGGUGGACUUUCGUCGAACAGUUGGUGUGCAAGCCAUGAUGGACACGGAGUUAACAGAACACCAUGAUGGACACAGAGUUAACGGAAUUCUUUGAAAAAUGAAAUCUUGUUUGGGUGAAUGUGUAGAGCGAACCGAGCGGGCCGUGGUGGUCACAGAUGUGAAUCAACGAAGUGAACGAAAAAUGAUUGAAAUGGUGAUGCGUGUCUAACCCGACUGAGCUUGAGAGGUUGUUUGCAAACUUGACUAAUUGAAUGUGCUAGUGUAACUGUUGAAAUUUUCUCCAAUUAAGAAGAGAUUGAUUUGAGAAAGAAAAGAAACCAAGAUGUGAUCUUGUGAAGGGAAGAAGAUGUUGUAGAUAUGGAAAUGUGGUUGAAUAUGUAGAACCCAUAGAUCUAAAUGUGGAGAUGAACUUAUAGUUGUAGAUCUCAAAUUGAAGAUGAUUGAUUUGAGAAAGAAAAGAAACCAAGAUGUGAUCUUGUGAACGGAAGAAGAUGUUGUAGAUAUGGAAAUGUGGUUGAAAUUAGUGGUGGUUCAUUACACCUUCUAGCGCCAUUAUGUAAGCCUUGAUUCCGGUUACAUGUAGAGAUUAGUGUUGUUGAGAUGGUCCUCUUGCUCCCUCUCCAUAGAUGACCUGCAAAGGGCGCCAGAGAUGUCUCCGGUGUCA